rnacentral:rRNA from 1 species
GACGAACGCUGGCGGCGUGCUUAACACAUGCAAGUCGAGCGGUAAGGCCCUUUGGGUGGUACACGAGCGGCGAACGGGGGCGGAACACGUGAGCAAUCUUCCCCUGUCUCUGGGAUAACCACUGCAAACGGUGGCUAAUACCGGUUAUGACCUACUUCUGCAUGGGUGGUGGUGGAAAAGUCCGCUCGCCAGGGCUGGGCUCGCGGCCUAUCACCUCGUUGGUGGAGUAAGGGCCUACCAAGGCGACGAGUGGUAGCCGGCCUGGGUGGUGGACCGGCCACCCUGGGCCUGCGGCACGGACCAGACUCCUACGGGCGGCAGCAGUCGGGAAUAUUGCACAACGGGCGCACGCGUGAUCUAGCAGCGCCGCGUUCGGGAUGCCCGCCUUCGGGUUGUAAACCACUUUCAGCAGAACCGUAGCCAAAGUGACGGUACCUGCAGAAGAAGCACCGGCCAACUACGUG